AAUUUCUGAAGUAGUCCUUUCUUUCCUUUGUCCUUAGGGUAGGGCUGCAACAAGCCAGGAGCAUUUCCAAGGCUGCAGAGAAAGGAGACAUUCUGCAUGUGCAGGUGGUGACCCAGAGGGACUCACAUGAACGUACAAGAAAACAGUAAAGAAGAGCAGUAAAGUCACAUGAUGAAGAACAUAAAGCCCAGCGCUUUAAUGGAACUAACUAGAUCUACAUUUAUCCAAAGGAAUAGAAUCUCAAGAACAAUGCUGAGUAAAAACCAAGUUUUUGAAUGUUAAGUACAAUAUGAUAGCAUUUAUGUAAGUUGUUUUUUCACGCUUAAAACAGUGCCGUCUAUAAGAGGCAGUGGCUCGGCCACUUAUGGCUUAUGACCCUUGGGCAAGUUAUUUACUCUCUCUGUGCCUCAAUCUGUUCAUCUAUAAAAUGGGGAGAAUGAGAAUACAUAACUUACGGGACUAUUAUAAAAAUUAAAUGUGUUAACAGAUGUAAAGUUCUUAGAACCAAGGCUGCCUUGUAGGUGUUAGUGAUUAUUAUACUGCUUAUGGCUACAGGAUUGGUUUAUAAGUGUGAAAUUAUGUAUAUUAUGUAUCUAUGAAAUGCUUGUUUAAUAAAAGCAUUAAUGUAAGAAGAUCUCUGUCUUAAUAUA